UACGUAGGGUGCAAGCGUUGUCCGGAAUUAUUGGGCGUAAAGAGCUUGUAGGCGGUUUGUCGCGUCUGCUGUGAAAUUUCGGGGCUCAACCCCGGGCCUGCAUUCGAUACGGGCAGACUAGAGUUCGGUAGGGGAGUCUGGAAUUCCUGGUGUAGCGGUGAAAUGCGCAGAUAUCAGGAGGAACACCGGUGGCGAAGGCGGGACUCUGGGCCGAUACUGACGCUGAGGAGCGAAAGCGUGGGGAGCGAACAGG
rnacentral:rRNA from 1 species